AGAGUUUGAUCCUGGCUCAGGACGAACGCUGGCGGCGUGCCUAAUACAUGCAAGUCGAGCGGACUUUUUGGAGUUUGCUCCAAAAAGUUAGCGGCGGACGGGUGAGUAACACGUGGGCAACCUACCUGUAAGACUGGGAUAACUUCGGGAAACCGGAGCUAAUACCGGAUAAUUCUUUCCUGCUCAUGCAGGGAAGCUGAAAGAUGGUUUCGGCUAUCACUUACAGAUGGGCCCGCGGCGCAUUAGCUAGUUGGUGAGGUAACGGCUCACCAAGGCAACGAUGCGUAGCCGACCUGAGAGGGUGAUCGGCCACACUGGGACUGAGACACGGCCCAGACUCCUACGGGAGGCAGCAGUAGGGAAUCUUCCGCAAUGGACGAAAGUCUGACGGAGCAACGCCGCGUGAGUGAUGAAGGUUUUCGGAUCGUAAAACUCUGUUGUUAGGGAAGAAUAAGUAUCGGAGUAACUGCCGGUACCUUGACGGUACCUAACCAGAAAGCCACGGCUAACUACGUGCCAGCAGCCGCGGUAAUACGUAGGUGGCAAGCGUUGUCCGGAAUUAUUGGGCGUAAAGCGCGCGCAGGCGGUUCCUUAAGUCUGAUGUGAAAGCCCACGGCUCAACCGUGGAGGGUCAUUGGAAACUGGGGAACUUGAGUGCAGAAGAGGAGAGGAAUUCCACGUGUAGCGGUGAAAUGCGUAGAGAUGUGGAGGAACACCAGUGGCGAAGGCGACUCUCUGGUCUGUAACUGACGCUGAGGCGCGAAAGCGUGGGGAGCGAACAGGAUUAGAUACCCCGGUAGUCC
rnacentral:rRNA from 1 species